AUUCUUUUAUUCUUCACUGAACGGUCCAGAUUAUCUCAAUCUAACGUGCCGAUUAGCUCCUGCGUACGCGUCGCCUUCCCUCACCCAGCACUCUUGAAUCACGCGCCUUCCUAAAAUCACUCCGCUCCCAUACCCCCGAAAUCCUUCCGCUCUCCUCCCCCAGCACCGCAACGCGGGCAUUGCUCUCCCCACCGCGCCGCCGCCCCGCCCCCUCUGCCUCUCGCUCCUCCCGCCUCCUCCAUCGCUCUCCAAACCCUAAACCUAACUUCCCCGCCGAACACCGCCAGUCCGCCGUCGCGCACCACUCCGCCGCUCGUCGCCGGUUUUCUCUGCACCGUCUCCGAUCUCCACCAGGAACUCCCGCCGCCAGAACUGCGGCGUGCCGUCGCCCUAUAGGGCAUCCAUCAGGUCAGAGGCGAUUCCUCAACAUCCACACUACCGUGUCGGCAUCCAAUUUGGGCCUUCAGCGGACACCGGAAAAUAGUUGGACAGUUUUCUCCAUGUGUUGUUGUACGUUCCUUGUGUUAAGAAUUACGACCAACUCGAUGGGCUAUGGAAAUCAGUUUGUUGGUCUUGUAGCAUAGAAUCAGGCAAUCAGCUGUAUCAUAUCCUAAUGUCCAGUGGAAAAUGCAAUCUGUUGUCUUGGCAAGACGUACUCACCGUGUUAAGUUGAUGUAAUGUUUAUAUUACCAGAAA